rnacentral:rRNA from 1 species
GAUGAACGCUGGCGGCGUGCCUAAUACAUGCAAGUCGAGCGAACAGACGAGGAGCUUUCUCCUCUGACGUUAGCGGCGGACGGGUGAGUAACACGUGGAUAACCUACCUAUAAGACUGGGAUAACUUCGGGAAACCGGAGCUAAUACCGGAUAACAUGUUGAACCGCAUGGUUCAACAGUGAAAGACGGUUUUGCUGUCACUUAUAGAUGGAUCCGCGUCGCAUUAGCUAGUUGGUAAGGUAACGGCUUACCAAGGCAACGAUGCGUAGCCGACCUGAGAGGGUGAUCGGCCACACUGGAACUGAGACACGGUCCAGACUCCUACGGGAGGCAGCAGUAGGGAAUCUUCCGCAAUGGGCGAAAGCCUGACGGAGCAACGCCGCGUGAGUGAAGAAGGUCUUCGGAUCGUAAAACUCUGUUAGUAGGGAAGAACAAAUGUGUAAGUAACCAUGCACGUCUUGACGGUACCUAAUCAGAAAGCCACGGCUAACUACGUG